UUGGAGGUCUGUUCACAUUGAUGACCUCAGACAGUCAAAAGACAUUGUUUCAGACAUCAAAGCCUUACAAAACAUGACAAUCAGUCAAAUGUUUGAAACUAAGACAAAUCAGCCUGAAGCAAUGGAGGUGGAUGACAUGUAUACUGGGGUGGAGGAAGCAGAGCUGGAA